rnacentral:rRNA from 1 species
AGGGUGUAAACGCUGCAGACUUGGUGUUGGGAACCCUUCGGGGGUGCUCAGUGCCGGAGAGAAGUUGUUAAGUCUGCUACUUGGGGAGUACGUCCGCAAGGAUGAAACUUAAAGGAAUUGGCGGGGGAGCACCGCAACGGGAGGAGCGUGCGGUUUAAUUGGAUUCAACGCCGAAAAACUCACCAGGGAAGACUGUUACAUGAAGGCCGAGAUGAAGACUCUGCUAGAUUUUCAGAGAGGAGGUGCAUGGCGUCAGUGACU